UCCGCCCUUUAGUGCUGCAGUAACGCAUUAAGCACUCCGCCUGGGGAGUACGGUCGCAAGAUUGAAACUCAAAGGAAUUGACGGGGGCCCGCACAAGCGUGGAGCAUGUGGUUUAAUUCGAAGCAACGGGAAGAACCUUACCAGGUCUUGACAUCCUCUGACAACUCUAGAGAUAGAGCGUUCCCCUUCGGGGGACAGAGUGACAGGUGGUGCAUGGUUGUCGUCAGCUCGUGUCGUGAGAUGUUGGGUUAAGUCCCGCAACGAGCGCAACCCUUGAUCUUAGUUGCCAGCAUUUAGUUGGGCACUCUAAGGUGACUGCCGGUGACAAACCGGAGGAAGGUGGGGAUGACGUCAAAUCAUCAUGCCCCUUAUGACCUGGGCUACACACGUGCUACAAUGGAUGGUACAAAGGGCUGCAAGACCGCGAGUCCAAGCCAAUCCCAUAAAACCAUUCUCAGUUCGGAUUGUAGGCUGCAACUCGCCUACAUGAAGCUGGAAUCGCUAGUAAUCGCGGAUCAGCAUGCCGCGGUGAAUACGUUCCCGGGCCUUGUACACACCGCCCGUCACACCACGAGAGUUUGUAACACCCGAAGUCGGUGGAGUAACCGUAAGGAGCUAGCCGCCUAAGGUGGACAGAUGAUUGGGUGAAGUCGU
rnacentral:rRNA from 1 species